ACCCAAGGGGGAUUAAGGAAGAGCUCUUGGCCAAAGUGGGUGGGCCGGAGAGAAGUCCUUAGGGACAUCCAGGGGUGGGAGGGAUCAGGGAUGAGUUGGCUCAAGCCCUCAUUUGCUGGUUAUUUGGUCAAAUUCCCAGUCUGGAGCCUCUCAGACAGCAGCCGAGGCUGUGAUUAGCGUAACGAUGGGUGGGAGCACGUAAUGAGGAGGGAAACGGGGAAACCACGUCUUUCUUGUAUCCCAUCAGGCAAAUGUUCUUGCAGGCAUCCUUGUUACUUUCUUUUUAUACCCUCUUUACAUUUACCAAGUUUGGGAGAUGGGGGUGGCAAAACUACUUGAAGUGUUGAUGCUGGAAGCUCUGAUUUGUAUCUUGAAGGUUCUUGGUGGCUUUUUCUGCUUUCUCUCCCCUAUCCAGAAGCCAGACACCAGGAGCAACAACAGGCAUGGGCAAAAUUCAGCCUAAUCCAGGAUCCAGCGUGCAAGGGCAUCCUCAAGAGAGCACGUCUAGAGGGGAAAGGGCAGGAGGAAGGGACCACAGCUAAACAGGCAGUGCCUUCAGGAAAGAGAAGCUGCUUGGGAAACUGGCUUUGCAGUCCCUUACCUUCUAGUGUAAAGGGAGGUGGACUCAUGGUGGUGAUGAGGAAAGAUGUUUAUGAGCUAUUGGGGAGGAGGGAGGAUUGGUUUUGGAGCACCACACAAGUCCUGGCCUUCUCCAUCCCCAUCCACCAGCCCACAGUGGCAUCAGGCAGCCCAGAACUGGGCUGGAGAGUUUUGGAAAGCUCCCUCACACAAAGCACGUUGGAGGCAAGCGGCUGUGAGGAGGCUGACGGUGCUGGAGCAGUUAAACCUGGAGAACUUAAACCCUUACUCCAUCCCCGUGGAUCCACCAUCGUGCAGGCAGCCAGCUGAAGGCACACUUGACCUAAGCUGGGGGACUUAACAAGUUGAAGGUGAAUCAUCUGUUUUAUUAACUCGGAGGCCACUUCAAGGACCGCAGCCCAAUUAUGCCACAUGUUGUACAUAUCCUGAAAGGAAUAUUCACGGAGAAAUGGGAUCCAUAUGGGCUGAUCCUUACUGGUAAGCACGUCCCGCUGAAGAACAGCCUUGGGUAUCUGCCCGCACAGAUCAGCUUAACAGGAUUCAGGCUUUAGCUCUUAAUUUAUAGUGUUGAACAGCUCUCCAGAAGAGGGAGGGAUCUCUAGGAGGCACGGUAUUAAGCGGACGGCGCUGUGACAUGCAUUUCCCCUCCAAGGAUUGAGGCUUGCUGCCUUCGCUUCGGUGUAAGGCUCUGUGCUCCAGAAAUAAGCAGGAAUAUCACGGUCUGGCCUGAAUUCCUCUCCUGAGGAAAGAGACAGAUGAUAUCAUUGUUGGAGUUGCUUGGACAUCAUAAAGAUGUCAACGUUGUUGAGCAGCUAUGAUUAAGAAGAAGCAAGCCCACAGUGAAGUGCUCACAGCUCGUUCCUGCAAGGCUUUGUCCACACCGCACAGCUCCUCCUGAACCCUGCACCCUAAGAGCCACGCAGACAACAAUUAGCAAAACGCAUGAGCCUAAACGUUAAUUAUCACAUAGUUUCCGCUCUGAUGGAAGAGAUGAAGUGAGCAAUGACUACGUUUUCAGGUACGCCACGCAGAGCUACACCUUCCAAAUGUCAUGCCUAAGGCAGGGUGCUCUGUUCAAUGUCAGCAGAGACGGCCGUAAGCUUGAAGGAAUUGCUCCUUGGCAGGUGAGCAGAGCUCUUCCCAUUUAGCUGUUGGUAUAAACUUUAAUCCCACAAGUGUAUCAUCGCUGUAGAUGUGUUUAUUGAGAAACCCGUGGUUUCAGUGUGGUUUUUAGUGUAUGUAAAAGUGCCCUUCUGCAUUACUAUAAAAGUUGGAUUUGGAAAGUACUUGUAACAUGUAUAAUUUGACUUCAGGUAUUCCUGCACUUUCCAGACUAUUUCACAUUCUCCUUGUAACAAAGGGAAUAAUGGAGCAGAUUCAUAGCUCAGAUCCUGAGUCUUUGCACCUUUCAGGCAGGACAAAAAAGAACCUGGCCAUAAUGGCCCAGCUGGGAGCACACCAUUGCUCCUGCGAAGCUCUUCAAGGGCAAGAAGAAUGCUGACACAGCCAUUUCCUGCACUAUUUGCUUCUGCAAGGAAUGCUUAAGGUACCACGCUUCUUUCCUCCCAACACUGAUAUGCAAAGAGCUGCGAGGAGGACAGGUCUCUCCAGAGCCAGCUGCAAUUUUUCUGCCCAUGUGGCCUGUGGUUUUAGGCCUCCACUGCUAUCCUUUAAAACUAUGCUUUUCAAAAGUGAGUUCCUGCAUGCCUGUGCUUUAGAUUUCUCAACUGGAGGCUGUGAUUUUUAGAAAGUGGUUAGCGUUACCCUGCUCUGUGAAAAGAAGCUUUAAAGCUUCAAGCUGGCCAGAUGCAGUUCAAGGCACCGAAACACACAGAUUUUGAGAAUCUUAGUAUAGGAAGAAAAUUCAACACUUGAGGAGAGCACUGGGUCUGUAUUUGUUUUGCUACCUUGGUAUUAUGUUGGAUUUCCCAUGUGGUUUUCAGUAGAUAAUAAAGUAGACAAUAUCUUUCCCCCCAAAUUUGAUAUUUUUUAAUACAUCUUCCCAUUUUAAUUAUGGUUUGGAGAAUAGAAGAACUCCACUGAAUUCCAUUUUUGCUAUUAAAUAUUGAAUGUGCUAUUCUUUUCUUCAUUUACUAUAUUUUACUUUACUUUUCUUCAGUUACUUCUUUUACUUCAAUUACUUUCUCGUUCCCAAACGCAGCCCAACAGUCCUUCAUGCUUUUUGUCCACAAAAUUGCAUUCUCUUCUCAAUUCUAAUUCAAGUUGCUUCUGAUCUUUACUGAACUCUUUUAUUCUAACCAUGAUAAAAUUGCAAGUUGAUGAGCAAUCCAUAAGUUUUUGGUGCAAAGGUAGUUUCUUUUAUAGAGGGUGUAUUUAUUUCAUGAUGGUUGCUAGAUGAGCUGCUAACAACUAAAGAGAUAUAAACACAUUUCUUGGAUCUCUUGGAUAUGGCUGGUAACUAGGAAGGGAGAUGAAAAAGUAGCUGAAUCUCCAACAAAUAGUAUCCUUAAAAAUGUAUGUGCAACUUCAAGAGGAAGUGAUAUGACCAAAAUCUACAAGAAAACUCCCUUGCUCCAGGUCCUGUUGUGUCUCUCUCCACAGCAACCAUGUUCAGCCCUGUCAGAACAAGCCUUGUGGUCAACUCUUAAGUUGUGUAGCUGGGAAUUGCACUGCCUGUUGAAAACACUACAUAUUUCUAGUGCUGGCUUUUACUAAGUGCUAUGAACUCCUUUCAGCUUGGCUUUAUGAGAUGUUAUAGACUUCCCAGAAGAGGCAGGCAUUUAGUACUCCUCAUCUUUAGUGCUUGAAUGUGCUCUCAUUUCUUUCCAGUUCUGAAAAUUCUGGUUGGAGUCACUUUUUAAACAAAAAAAAUCACCCAUUUUCUCACUUAGCCUUCUGUUUUUUCCCCAUCCUAAACCACUGCUUUUACAGAUCACGCUUUUAGAAAAGCAGCAAGUUCCUCUUCAUUCUUCUUCCAAUACCAGCUGUAAAGAUUUGUGCUUUCCUUCUGUACCUUGGCUAUGUAGGGAGGCAAGCCAAGAGAAUAACUCUUAUAGCCCUAUGGGAGAAGGUGUCCUUCAAACAACCAGGACUGAUGAAUAAAGCUUCUAGGCUUUACACUGGAAUGUCUCCUAUGUGAAUCCUCUGCUGUGAGUACAGGAAAGUACUAUAUAUUAAUUAGUAAACUACAAUCCUAAAUAGUAUAAACCCAAGGAAUGCUUUGCCCACUGACUGUGGCAACCUGUUCAGCCUGGAUUUACAUGCAGCACUUAUUUUGUUUUCUGCUUCUUGGGUUUACCACCAUGUUGUUUGUAAUUUCCUGUUUUUUAAAUUAAAGACAUAGCAAACCCUCACAAAUGUCUUUUUAGCCAUUUAGCAACUUUUUAGUUGCUCCAUUUCUCUGCUUCUUUGCUCAAAGAUCAACAAUGUUAUGAGGUGUUGCAGAGUAUUGACCACUCUGGUCACACAGUCAACAUGGUAUUCCAGCAAUGAGGAUUUGGGUUACAUAUCAGAUCUUAUGGAUCCAUGCUUUUUGCAUGUCAUCAUGUCCACGCUGACUCUCAACUUCUAAAAUGUUGAUUUGUGUCAUCACAUUCCUCCUCCUACCCAUCUGCAUAAAUUGUGAAUCUCACCAUGCUUGGCCUGAAGUCUUGUGCAGGUCUCUGGUCUUUGCGGGCAGGUUUCAUUCACCCUCUGCUCUGCCCAUGCUCCAAGCAAACUGGAAAUCAGGAAGCUCCAGGACUGCUGGUUGGCUGGAGACACAGGUGAACUCAUUUUCUUUUGUAUACAAAAAGCCAUAUGAACAUAAUCAUGGAUGUUCAUGCAACUUCCAUUCCUGAAAUAUUUUUAAUUUCAUUGAGCUAUUUAUUUGCAUAAAAUCCCUAGGAUAUAAAGCCCAGUUAUUAGAUACCUGAAGUUAUUAUUGUCUACAUCUUUGUCACAUGAAAAAAUAUCAGUGAAUCAGGACACUAAAUUAAGGUUUUCCUAAGUCCUGACUAGUGCCAAAAUAAAUGUCUCUAGUCCAGGAGGCUUACAGAUAUGACAUGAUGAGAGACAGUGAAAACAAGACAUGAAGUAGAAAGCAGAAGGCGCAGCAGGGGAAUUAGUUUGGGGUAAAUGAACGUACAAUCCAUGUUAUUCAUAAAAGAUGACAAUCCCUUCUAACAUGAGUAUCAUUUUGGAUUCACGCUCAGUACAGGACAAGGAAGGAUCACCAGCAGAGGAUGAAUCUUCGAAACUUUCUCCAUGUGGUUUUGGUUACAUAGGCAUCUUUGCCUCCCGUGACUGUCUCCUCUUACAGUGACAGUGGUUUAUGAAUGUUUCCACUUCACGUCUUCCUCACUGCACUGACACUCUCAUCCUAAAACUGAGCAUCUCUGCCAAAUGAAGGUUGGAACAGGUUAGAGACAGGAACAUGAGUGUAGGAAAGGAGCACGGGUUGGUAAAAUCCAUUCAAAACACUCAAUAUCCACAGCUGCCUCAGAAACCUACCUCCUGUGUUUAUCUAAUUACAAAAAAAUUAAUAUGGUCAUUUCUUCAUUUUCAGCAAAUCAGCAUUUCCUGAAGUAUUGUGAUACUUUCCCUGAGCUAAGCGUAACUCCACGAGGAUUUUCAUUUACAGACAUGCUGGAUCCCAUUUUAUGUGUGGCUUUUCCAUCAGGCACUCCAACAGAGUCACUUUGAUCCUGCCUACUGGGAAGAUGACCCACGGAUCUUAAAAGCUGUUUGCUCAGGGUAGCUGUGACAGGUUGGAGCACCUCAUUUGUGCAAGCAGGCUGCCCAGAAAACGAGGAAAAUGCAGCAGCUGGAGAAAGCCAGCUCCAACAGCUGGAACAGUUUCCUUCUGCAGAUUUCCCCCAAAUCGCAGCUAAGAAGGGGCACAGCUCGCGGGGAAAAUGUGUGCCCUGUAAAAUAAAAGGAUUAGGAAACCACUUUAUGGCUUGUGAGAUUUAUGGAUUCGGAACAAACGCCUGUAGCUCGCUUGGCCUGCGGCUCUUGAGGAGGCCAAAACAAACUGCUUUUAAUGCUUCGGUUCAAAAGGAAGGCUCAGAUCCCCCCUUAGGUGGGUUUUGUGAACGAUGGGAACACUGGAAAGAGCCUCGUGUGUCCUGCAGCACCUCCAAGCCACCCCUUCAUGUUGCCUGAACGCGGCAAUACUGAAAGGCAAAUUCAUUCCCAAUGUCCCAGCACGGUGGAAAUGUCAACCUGGGAACCCAGCUCUGUCUUCUCUCAUUAUAGUUCUCCGAAAGUAGCCAAUAUUCGCAAUAAGCAGCUCAAAUUAAAUAUAUUCUAAAGGAUUCAGUCUUCCAACCCAGUUACACGAGGACCCGCUGAGGCAUGACCAGAGGUACAGGGCUCUUUGUCCCUGCCUUCUUGCUCCAAAUUCACUCUGGAUGCUGGGAGCCCAACAGGACUCCCAGGCUGCUGACAGCGUGUCUCAAGCCCAGCUGCUGGAAGGAUGCUGCUCGUAGGCAGCCCCUAGCAUGUCACGGGGAAAACAUUUCCUUCUGCUACGCUUUCCAAGUCACUGAGGGCCUUCUGUGCAAACAGAGACAACUCCGAAUUCCUCCUUGGCAGCCUUCAGCGUGGCUCCGCGGAGCUGUCUGCCUACCACAGAGAGCCACCUGCAGUUACACGCAUUCACCUUCUUUGCAUUAAUCGAAAUGUGCUCAGCAGCAGCAGGGAUGCUCUCGGCAAGCCAGGAAGGACAGCAUCUGCCACGGGCAAAUGCAUCCAGAUUUUCUAAUGAGCCUGCUGAUCGUGGAUGCCUCGGAUUUCAGCUGGUUGUUCUGCAGCCCUUGUGGAAAGGUUUUUCUCUCUAGAUGUUCGUGGCUACUGCCUUUGAAAUUGGUUGCCAUCAAAAUGUUAUUUUAUUUUAUUUUAUUUUAUUUUAUUUUGUUUUGUUUUGUUUUGUUUUGUUUUCAUGUGUUUUCAGAUUUCUGAGGAUUCCAGCCAUUCUGAGAAAUCACAGCACUGG